AGUUGUUGGGUGAUGGGUUCUACAUGUCAUUGUUCUGUCUAUUUCUAUUCGAUUUAGAAGGGGCUUGAUCAGGUUUCGGUGUCGCUGGGUUUUGAAUAAUCGUGCUAGACCAAUCAGUGAGGGGUUUUGUGUUCUGAUUGAGAUUUGUGCAUGGGUUUGUCUUCAUUAGUGGUUGGGUUUCUCUUUUGCUAUAGUAAUUUUGCAUUGUGUUUGACUUCAGGAUAAUUGUGUCUUCAGUUGGUGAUCUGCUACAAGUAAAUCAAUCGUACCUGGGUUUAGAAGAUAAACGUGUUAGAUCAAUCAGGUGAUGGGUUUAUGCUUUGAUUGUUGCAUGUUCUUCAAUUAUAAUUCUUUUUUUUUUUUUCUUGGCUGAUUGCCACAAGCCUUGGUAGAUCUUUAAGAUUCAAGAGAAUCAGAUUAGGGAAGUUGAUGUAGGUGUUUCUGAUUUGUCAUCUAGAUGAUUAAUGAUUUCUGAUGCAAUUUUUUAGAUCUACAUGUUUCUACCUGAUCAAGGUUUGGCUUUGAUUUUGCUCUCUGUUGCUAUUGCUUUCUGUUUCUAGAUGCUGGAUACCAAUAGAGUUGAUCAUUGCUAAAUUCACUAUACCUAUUCAAAUGUAAAAAACAGGAGUGAGGGGGGAUUUAAUCUAGAUACAUUUUGCUUAUACACUAUUCUUUUCUCUUUUGCUUAAAACCCAUAUUUUGCUUAUUGGUGAGUUAUCUAUUGCUGUAUUCUUUUUUUCGAGUUUGGAGGUGGUGAGAAUCUCCAUUUGAAUUAACUGUGGAAUUGAUUUUUGUUUUUCAUUUUGUGUUUGUUUUGGAUUGAUUUGUGAAUGUAUUUACAGCAACAGGAGGGAGAAUGGGUGCUUAAGGUGAGAAAGAGAGGAGGGUGAAUCAGUUUGUGUUUCUUUUGAAAAAGGGAAAUUGGGGCAUAGGAAGAAGGGAGAUCUGGAGUUGGUAUUGUUUUUUCCUUGGCUACUAUUAUCUACCUAAGAUAAUUGCAUUAUAGGUAAUACGUUUAUCUUUAAAGAUAAUGGUACAAUAGAUGAGUAGAUCAAAGAAAUAGAAAACAGAUGCAGCAUUUUGUUAAAUAGCAACCACGUAUAUUCUGCUACAUCAAUAUACCAACUCAAAGAGAUCAACCACUAUUAGAACAAAUCCGAACAAUAUUUGCCCAUCUGGUUUUCUUUAAGAAAUAUCUGAUAUAAAGGACAGUUGGCUUAUGAAUCAUUUGAUGAAUGUAUGUAAAUUUUGUUGAGGACAAAUGUUUUAAUGUGUCUCAUAUAUAGUUGCUAAAAAGAGUUUUAAGGAAAGAAUCGUCUUUUCUUAGUAUAAAGAAGUUUUCUUGAUCAACUAAAUAGAAGAUGAAUGAGUUUGUAUUUAUGUGCCUUAAUGAGUAUUGGUUGUGUGAUCAGAACAUAUAUUUUUGUCCUCAUCCCUGUCCAGAGAGAAUUUAGAUUCAUUCCACAUCAAAACAUUUGGUUCCUCCAAUUCGGAAUUGAGGGAAACCUGUCACUGUCUCCUACAGUCAAAGAUCAAUUCAUCCAAGCCAACAACCUUACCAACUGCUGAUUGACUGUACGGGGAGUGACAUUGACAAAAAAAAAAAAAGAUCUGGAGGUAAUUGGUGUUCGAUUGACUACCUUUCUGCUCUAAUUGAAAUAGAAUCGGCAGCUUUCGUUUAAUAGAGAAGCUACUUUCACAGUGAUAGAUAAGCCAGUAUUGAAUCAGCAACAUCAUCAACAUCAUCAACAGAAAUCAUCAGCAAAGAAAAACUGGACUGAAGUGUCACAAGAAGCAACUUUUUGGACAACCUCCACUACUGGUCAUCACUAGGCUAACAUCGUCUCAGCAUGCAUAUGUGCUAAUGGACAUCAUCGCUUAUUUUUGGCAACCAGAUUAGGUGUUUGUUGUAACUAAGUGUUAGCCUAUAAGUAGAACAGCUUAUUUUUGGCAAGCUGUUUCAACAGCAACUGUAAUCCGUUUUUUAACACUGAAUUUCAGUAAAACAUGGUGUAUGUUAGUUCUUAACGAGAUACUCUAUCCUCCUAAA